rnacentral:rRNA from 1 species
UACGGAGGGUGCAAGCGUUAUCCGGAUUCACUGGGUUUAAAGGGUGCGUAGGUGGGCAGGUAAGUCAGUGGUGAAAUCUCCGGGCUUAACCCGGAAACUGCCGUUGAUACUAUUUGUCUUGAAUAUUGUGGAGGUAAGCGGAAUAUGUCAUGUAGCGGUGAAAUGCUUAGAUAUGACAUAGAACACCAAUUGCGAAGGCAGCUUACUACACAAAUAUUGACGCUGAGGCACGAAAGCGUGGGGAUCAAACAGG